GCCGAAACCUUGCGGUCAAGGAGAAAACAGCCUACUCUCACGCGCGCUUUUUCUUUGUUCCAAGAUUGAUUGAACGACUCGUGUGUUUCUCUUCGUCCUGAAAAUUGCUAUGAAGCUAGAUAACAUGCUAAUGCUGUGUUUUGAACAUAGUUUUACAAGUUUAGUCGACAUAUAAUAUGUAAUUUCAACGUUUUGGUGCGCACCCACUUGACUUUUGGCUGCAUUUCAACCGAAAUGUGUCGUGUUUGAUCACCGAAAGACACAGACUUCCAAACUAAAGCUGUUUUUGGUCACAUGUAACCACGCCAGCCCAGGAUCUCCACAUACGGCUUCUUCAUCUGCGGGAUUGUCUGAGACCAGCCACCCGGGCAGCUGAUGAAACUGUGGGUUUGCACAACCGAAGAAUUUCUCCACAAACUGUCAGAAAACUGUCUCAGGGAAGCUCAUCUGCGCCCUGCUGAGAUGAAACAAUACAUUACUUGAAAGUGUGUGUACUUCCAUGAUCCGAAACCUCCAGUGAUGAUCCAUGGCACGAAGCCUCCAGUGAUGAUCCAUGGCACGAAGCCUCCAGUGAGGAGUCAUGGCACGGAGCCUCUAGUGAAGGCCUCCAGUCCUGAGCCUCCAGUGACGGUCUCCAGUCCGGAGCCUCCAGCGACGGUCUCCAGUCCGGGGCCCGCAACGAGUGUGCCCAGUCCUGGGCCCGCAAUGAGGGUCCCCAGUCCGGGGCCCGCAGAGAGGGUCCCCACACCAGAGGCACUACUGAAGUGGGGUGAGCCAGAGGUGGAGCGGGGUCUACGUCCCACACCAAAGCCACCACCGCGGAUAGAUGCCCACCCAGACCUUCCCCUAUAGAUUCAGCUGGCCUGUCCCUCGCCCCAUCUGGACAGGAUAGACACCUCAGAAUCCACAUUGCCUCAAACCAUCGCCCCAUCUGGACCAGCCCAGCCAGGAGACGGCUGUGGCAGUGGAGGAGAAUCCAUGUCGCCUGGUUCCAUGGUUGGAAGCCAUGAUAGAGAUAUGAUGACCUUGCAUCACAAUGUCCAUUCCACAAAGGUAGUAGUAGCUAGCCUGCAGCGGUGGACCAGUGCCAGGAAUGGCCCUCCAAGGACCUGAGCCCUAGGACCAUGCCCCCAGGACUACCUGACAUGAUGACUCCUUGCUGUCCCCAGUCCACCUGGCUGUGCUGCUGCUCCAGUUUCAACUGUUCUGCCUUAUUAUUAUUCAACCAUGCUGGUCAUUUAUGAACAUUUGAACAUCUUGGCCAUGUUCUGUUAUAAUCUCCACCUGGCACAGCCAGAAGAGGACUGGCCACCCCACAUAGCCUGGCUCCUCUCUAGGUUUCUUCCUAGGUUUUGGCCUUUCUAGGGAGUUUUUCCUAGCCACCGUGCUUCUACACUUGCGUUGCUUGGGGUUUUAGGCUGGGUUUCUGUACAGCACUUUGAGAUAUCAGCUGAUGUACGAAGGGCUAUAUAAAUAAAUUUGAUUUGAUUUGAGUUGGCGUGUGAGUUUGACUUUCGGGAAAGGGUAGUUAAAGACAAGUACACUGAAUUUAGACUACCAAAUAAAUGCCAAACACCUAUUUUGACCCAAUCCCCAUACCUUUAAAGUAAGUUACUAAAUAUAGUCCAGUUUGUAACAUUCUCUAUGAAAUG
ensembl:lncRNA